UUGUCUGCCCCUUAUCUGCCACUGUCUCGCUCUCUGACCACCGGCUCUCGGACCUGUUUCUGUCACCUGGACCUUGCCCCUUGGAUCACGUUUUUGGAUUUAACUAACAAUCUCGGACCACACAGUUUUUGACCUCAGCCUGCCCCAAGGAAAUCGGAACCAAGCCCAAGCCCCAAAGAUCACAGGACUCUGCAUCCUCACCUGGACUGGUCGAUUCACUCUCAUCCCCAGAAGAGUGUGCGGUCCAGGGGUUCAGAUUCCCGACCAGUCUCCAUUUUAAAUAAAGUACUUAAAACUUUA